GCCCUGAUAGUGUAGUGGUCCAGCACAUGGCCCUGUCAAGGCCAUAACCCGAGUUCAAAUCUCGGUCAGGGCG
rnacentral:tRNA from 1 species